CAGUCGCCGCGGGAAAACGGAGGGUGCAAGCGUUAAUUGGAAUUACUGGGCGUAAAGCGCACGCAGGCGGUCUGACAAGUCAGAUGUGAAAUCCCCGGGCUUAACCUGGGAACUGCAUUUGAAACUGUCAGGCUGGAGUCUUGUAGAGGGGGGUAGAAUUCCAGGUGUAGCGGUGAAAUGCGUAGAGAUCUGGAGGAAUACCGGUGGCGAAGGCGGCCCCCUGGACAAAGACUGACGCUCAGGUGCGAAAGCGUGGGGAGCAAACAGGAUUAGAUACCCCGGUAGUCCCUGUCUCUUAUAC
rnacentral:rRNA from 1 species